rnacentral:ncRNA from 1 species
UGGGACCUUCGGGGCCCUAUAACCAUGACGGUGCACACUGCACCCGAUAAGCAAAACGGAAGACAUCA